GGCCCAAUUCAGUUUGGGCUAGGCUUAUUGUUAGCACAUUUAUUGUAAUCCAUUUUGUAGCUCAAAUAAUGGGCAAGCCCAUUUUGCACAUUAUAGCGCAUACAUUAGCCAAAACAAUUAAACACUUUAUUACAAUCCGCAUAACAAAUAUAUUAUGUAAUCUAGUAGUUUUCACAUAAAAAUAUGGAAACAUUAAUCACUCCUAAAAGCAAUUGUAUCGGUCAAGCUAAAAUCAAAGCUAGUACAAUGUUGUAGUAGACUACAAACACAGUUCACACAUUUUGCCAUUAUGUUUUCAUCACUUCUCUUCUCCAAGUGGACCUCAAACUUCCAUCCAGAUCUGCAAAAAUAAUAUCUUAUCAAUACAAACUUAAUUGAAAUAGUAUAAUAAGCAAACAAAUGAAGUCAAGAACUGUGAUUGAACAUUCGAGCAACCUAAUCCUAACUGGCCAAACUAGGACCGGGAAUAACUAAGACUAUUGAACAAAAAGCUGCACUAAAUAACUGCUAUCAUCACAAUUAGAUCAUGUUGCUGCUACUUGAACCCAUUAUCGUUGUGUAAUUUUGUUCUAAAAUGCAAGUAAUCAACCGAUUCAUUAAUGUGGUAAUUCUGCAGAUGAUUUACAAAACCUGCUACUACCGAAGCUAUGAAGGACUUCGCAUCCACAAAUGGUUUAGGACAACUAGAACACACGAGAGGAGGGCAGUAUGUGUAUACCCUGCUUUCCGCUCUGUUCUCCAUUCGUCUCAGCACACACUCCAACGCUGGCUUCCUAGUAAUCUCACCAAGAUCCAAAUGUAGAACUAAAUGCAACAUCCAUUUGUUGGCACCCCUUUGGCGGCACACGCACCUAUCAGAUCCAAUCAGAUACGAAUACAAAUUGAUUAAGUUUGAAUACUCGGUUCUGCACAACAGGAAAAAGGAAGAGAAGGGGUUGGCCGUGAGCAUACCUGGGUUCCCAUCACCACAAAGAUCUUGCAGAUAGAGACCACAUCACUAGGGGGUAGGGGCGACGGUGGCAGCUACCGAGUCGCUGCUGCUAGAGAGAAGCAGCGGACAUCGAUGGAGGAUCUAGCGGAGAGGACUACGACAGCGCCUGGCAAGAGAAGGGUUCGGCAGCACCAAUACUCUAUCACCACUAGCAUGAACGAAGACGAGCAUGUACUUUUGAAUCGCUCACGGCACAAGAGGCCACCACCUUCGUCACGGCCCUGCCUGAGGUGCACACUUAGCCAUCUCACCGCUGCUCCUGCUUGCUGGUGAUGGGUCGUAGUGUCGCAUGAGGAAGGAGAGACGGCAGAGUUUUGCAUUUGGGUGCGUGGUGUGAGAUAGAAGAAGGGAGCGACGGCCGAAGGGGAGAAAGGAGGAGUGAAGACUCAU
rnacentral:lncRNA from 1 species